rnacentral:lncRNA from 1 species
AGGCCCCUCAAAGUUUGGCAGAGGCCACAGCAAACCUGUUUCAAAAAUGCUUACUCAGCAGAUGUGACCUUUUCCUAAAUGUUUUUGGGUUUUACAACAAUCUAACUUACCUUUUCCAAUUGAGGCACGGAAACCAAAAGCCAGAGUCAAAGUUGCAGAGAGGAACGGAGGGAUUGCAGUGAGAUUUGGUGAACAUCUGGGGAAGUUUCAAAGAAGAUGCCUAGACUGGGGAACUGCAUUCACAUCCCAUCAGGAAUUUGCGCUCUCCAGUAAGUAUUGAGAUAACUUUGUGAUUUCAGGAUCACUUUUGUUUUUAUUAUUUUUAACUUUAGAGGUAAUGGAAGUUUCUGGGAGAGGUGGGUUUGGUUUUGUUUUUGCUUUAGAAUGUUUACUUGCAAUUGAAUGAAAUGCCUUUCGUUUUUUGAAAUUCCAUGUAACCUUCAGUAAUUGUUUAGGUGACUUCUAAAAAAGUUUAACUAGGAACUAGGAACAUUGCCUAAAUUUAAGUUGUGCAAACUAUUUUGCAGUAGUGAACAGCUAUAUUCCUAUUUCAUACACAUCAAUUCAAGCCUGUUCUCUUUUGGCCCUCAUUCCAUAAAUAAGGCGUGGAGAAACAAGCCACAGGAGGAUUCUGCUUUACUGAGUGGAGGAGAAAUCCAUCGAGAAUGGGCCGUUUGCUAGUUCAUUCGUUUGGUGACUUUUUCCUGAUGGGAAAUAGCAGAGCAGUGGAUCACCAGGAAUAGAGUCUGGCGAGAUCGCAGCUCCAGGAUCCUUUCGGGGUGGGCAGGAGGCGUCAGUCAGUGGGACGGAGCCAGAUCGAGAAACUGGGGACUCUAAGUUGACUCUUCAGGGAAUGUCCAGAUUUUAGAUUUCUAAGCAUAGCAAAAUUCGGUUACUUUCACACUUGGAACUUAAAACGGCAGCCUCGGAAGGAAGACCAUUUCUGGUAUUCUACAGCUCUGCUGCUUGCAGGGAGUUGAGAUGCAGCGGCAGGUUGAGAAGCUGCGGCGCCGCGGACGAGGAAGGAGGGUGCGCCCGAGGGUAGAGGAAGGGGCUUUCCGCGCCCAUCCUGUGCGUGCGGCCGGCUCGCGG